UACGUAGGGUGCGAGCGUUGUCCGGAAUUAUUGGGCGUAAAGAGCUUGUAGGCGGUUUGUCGCGUCUGCCGUGAAAGCCCAGGGCUUAACCCUGGGUCUGCGGUGGGUACGGGCAGACUAGAGUGUGGUAGGGGAGACUGGAAUUCCUGGUGUAGCGGUGGAAUGCGCAGAUAUCAGGAGGAACACCAAUAGCGAAGGCAGCUCGCUGGGACGUUACUGACACUGAGGCGCGAAAGCGUGGGGAGCGAACAGG
rnacentral:rRNA from 1 species